GCAAACUUGGUCAUUUAGAGGAAGUAAAAGUCGUAACAAGGUCUCCGUAGGUGAACCUGCGGAGGGAUCAUUACCGAGUAAGGGCCUCUGGCCCGACCUCCAACCCUUUGUGAUUUGAACCUUUGUUGCCUCGGGGGUCACCCGUCCGCGGGGCCCCCGGAGGACCCCUUCAUACACUGCGUCUGUACGUCGGUUUGAUUGAGAAAAUCGAAUCAAAACUUUCAACAACGGAUCUCUUGGUUCUGGCAUCGAUGAAGAACGCAGC
rnacentral:misc_RNA from 1 species